AUUGAUUGGUGCUUGCAUCAUGAUUUACAUUUGAGUGAGUGGCGAACUGGUGAGUAACACGUGGGAAACCUGCCCAGAAGCGGGGGAUAACACCUGGAAACAGAUGCUAAUACCGCAUAACAACUUGGACCGCAUGGUCCGAGUUUGAAAGAUGGCUUCGGCUAUCACUUUUGGAUGGUCCCGCGGCGUAUUAGCUAGAUGGUGAGGUAACGGCUCACCAUGGCAAUGAUACGUAGCCGACCUGAGAGGGUAAUCGGCCACAUUGGGACUGAGACACGGCCCAAACUCCUACGGGAGGCAGCAGUAGGGAAUCUUCCACAAUGGACGAAAGUCUGAUGGAGCAACGCCGCGUGAGUGAAGAAGGGUUUCGGCUCGUAAAACUCUGUUGUUAAAGAAGAACAUAUCUGAGAGUAACUGUUCAGGUAUUGACGGUAUUUAACCAGAAAGCCACGGCUAACUACGUGCCAGCAGCCGCGGUAAUACGUAGGUGGCAAGCGUUGUCCGGAUUUAUUGGGCGUAAAGCGAGCGCAGGCGGUUUUUUAAGUCUGAUGUGAAAGCCUUCGGCUCAACCGAAGAAGUGCAUCGGAAACUGGGAAACUUGAGUGCAGAAGAGGACAGUGGAACUCCAUGUGUAGCGGUGAAAUGCGUAGAUAUAUGGAAGAACACCAGUGGCGAAGGCGGCUGUCUGGUCUGUAACUGACGCUGAGGCUCGAAAGUAUGGGUAGCAAAACAGGGAUUAGAUACCCUGGUAGUCCAUACCGUAAACGAUGAAUGCUAAGUGUUGGAGGGUUUCCGCCCUUCAGUGCUGCAGCUAACGCAUUAAGCAUUCCGCCUGGGGAGUACGGCCGCAAGGCUGAAACUCAAAGGAAUUGACGGGGGCCCGCACAAGCGGUGGAGCAUGUGGUUUAAUUCGAAGCUACGCGAAGAACCUUACCAGGUCUUGACAUACUAUGCAAAUCUAAGAGAUUAGACGUUCCCUUCGGGGACAUGGAUACAGGUGGUGCAUGGUUGUCGUCAGCUCGUGUCGUGAGAUGUUGGGUUAAGUCCCGCAACGAGCGCAACCCUUAUUAUCAGUUGCCAGCAUUAAGUUGGGCACUCUGGUGAGACUGCCGGUGACAAACCGGAGGAAGGUGGGGAUGACGUCAAAUCAUCAUGCCCCUUAUGACCUGGGCUACACACGUGCUACAAUGGAUGGUACAACGAGUUGCGAACUCGCGAGAGUAAGCUAAUCUCUUAAAGCCAUUCUCAGUUCGGAUUGUAGGCUGCAACUCGCCUACAUGAAGUCGGAAUCGCUAGUAAUCGCGGAUCAGCAUGCCGCGGUGAAUACGUUCCCGGGCCUUGUACACACCGCCCGUCACACCAUGAGAGUUUGUAACACCCAAAGUCGGUGGGGUAACCU
rnacentral:rRNA from 2 species